rfam:Marchantia polymorpha subsp. polymorpha scaffold3873, whole genome shotgun sequence.
AAAAAAGCAGGGAUGUGCGAUUCUCAUGAGCAACUCCCUCGUCAGCUUCAGGAAUAACAAAGGUGCCACUAAUGGGUGAGCUGAUGUGUGGUUUGAAAAGGCCCUAUCGCUAACAGUUCAAUCAGUGGUUCCAUAUCA